rnacentral:rRNA from 1 species
GAUGAACGCUGGCGGCGUGCCUAAUACAUGCAAGUCGAGCGAACAGAUGAGGAGCUUGCUCCUCUGACGUUAGCGGCGGACGGGUGAGUAACACGUGGAUAACCUACCUAUAAGACUGGGAUAACUUCGGGAAACCGGAGCUAAUACCGGAUAAUAUAUUGAACCGCAUGGUUCAAUAGUGAAAGACGGUUUUGCUGUCACUUAUAGAUGGAUCCGCGCCGCAUUAGCUAGUUGGUAAGGUAACGGCUUACCAAGGCAACGAUGCGUAGCCGACCUGAGAGGGGGAUCGGCCACACGGGAACUGAGACACGGUCCAGACUCCUACGGGAGGCAGCAGUAGGGAAUCUGCCGCAAUGGGCGAAAGCCUGACGGAGCAACGCCGCGUGAGUGAUGAAGGUCUUCGGAUCGUAAAACUCUGUUAUUAGGGAAGAACAAAUGUGUAAGUAACUAUGCACGUCUUGACGGUACCUAAUCAGAAAGCCACGGCUAACUACGUG